rnacentral:rRNA from 1 species
UACGUAGGGGGCAAGCGUUGUCCGGAAUCAUUGGGCGUAAAGCGCGUGUAGGCGGCCCGAUAAGUCCGCUGUGAAAGUCCAGGGCUCAACCCUGGAAUGCCGGUGGAUACUGUCGGGCUCGAGUCCGGAAGAGGCGAGUGGAAUUCCGUGGUGUAGCGGUGAAUGACGCAGAUAUCAGGAGGAACACCAAUGGCGAAGGCAGCUCGCUGGGACGGUACUGACGCUGAGACGCGAAAGCGUGGGGAGCAAACAGG